UCCAUGUAAAGGAACAACCAGGGCAGACAGCUGUGCACAUUUAUACUUGGCUUACUGAGAAAGACCUGCAAUUACUGAAGUCUGAUACCCACUACUUAUCAGGAAAAAAGGUUGUGAGUAGGUGGGACUUGAUGACACCUAGAUCUUGCUCCAACACUGGAUGAAGCCAAGAAAUCAAUGCGCAGAAGCAGAAGUAAAUCUUCCAUUGAAAUGCAGGGUUGGAUAUUUGCUCCUCUUAAGAGAUGUGAUAUUUUCUGUUGUGAUUAAUUAUAUCUUCUUUAUAAUAAGUUUGUGUAUUUUACUGCGAUUUUGA